rnacentral:lncRNA from 1 species
AUCUAUUAGAAUUACACCAGACUUCUCACCAGAGACUAUGAAAGCCAGAAGAUCCUGGACAGAUGUUAUACAGACCCUAAGAGAACACAAAUGCCAUCCCAGGCUACUAUACACCGCAAAACUCAAUUAGCAUAGAUGGAGAACCCAAAGUAUUCUAUGACAAAACCAAAUACACAAUAUUUUUCCACAAAUCCAUCCAUUCAAAGGAUAAUAAAGAGAAAACACCAAUACAAGGACGGAAAUUACGUGCUAGAAAAAGCAAGAAAGUAAUCCUUCAACAAACCUAAAAGAAGAGAGCCGACAACAAAAAUCUUAAAAGCAACAAAUCUCUUAAUAUCAGUGGACUCAAUUCCCC